CUUGUUUUGCUUUGUUUGAGGAUUUUAUGACCUCUUAUGAUUGAAUUUUUUUGCUUUUGAUGCCUAAUUUUUGCAUGGACCGUUUUUGAAGCUUUGAAUCCACUAGGAUUGCCCUAAUUUUUUUGCCUAAGUUGCCUCUUUGGGUAUUCAACUUAGUGGGUUUUUUUAUUCUUUUUUUUUUAUUUUACUGAAAAUUAUGACAGCCAAGUCAUUGGUCA
rnacentral:lncRNA from 1 species